UACGUAGGGUGCAAGCGUUGUCCGGAUUUAUUGGGCGUAAAGAGCUCGUAGGCGGUUUUGAAAGUCGGGUGUGAAACCUCCAGGCUCAACCUGGAGACGCCACUCGAUACUUCAAUGACUUGAGUUCGGUAGGGGUAAGCGGAAUUCCUGGUGUAGCGGUGAAAUGCGCAGAUAUCAGGAGGAACACCGACGACGAAGGCAGCUUACUGGGCCGAUACUGACGCUGAGGAGCGAAAGCGUGGGGAGCGAACAGG
rnacentral:rRNA from 1 species